rnacentral:rRNA from 1 species
AGUGAACGCUGGCGGUAGGCCUAACACAUGCAAGUCGAACGGCAGCACAGUAAGAGCUUGCUCUUACGGGUGGCGAGUGGCGGACGGGUGAGGAAUACAUCGGAAUCUACUUUUUCGUGGGGGAUAACGUAGGGAAACUUACGCUAAUACCGCAUACGACCUACGGGUGAAAGCAGGGGAUCUUCGGACCUUGCGCGAUUGAAUGAGCCGAUGCCGGAUUAGCUAGUUGGCGGGGUAAAGGCCCACCAAGGCGACGAUCCGUAGCUGGUCUGAGAGGAUGAUCAGCCACACUGGAACUGAGACACGGUCCAGACUCCUACGGGAGGCAGCAGUGGGGAAUAUUGGACAAUGGGCGCAAGCCUGAUCCAGCCAUACCGCGUGGGUGAAGAAGGCCUUCGGGUUGUAAAGCCCUUUUGUUGGGAAAGAAAAGCAGCCGGCUAAUACCUGGUUGGGAUGACGGUACCCAAAGAAUAAGCACCGGCUAACUUCGUG